AUUGAACGCUGGCGGCAGGCCUAACACAUGCAAGUCGAGCGAGCGGCGGACGGGUGAGUAAUGUAUGGGGCUCUGCCCGAUAGAGGGGGAUAACUACUGGAAACGGUGGCUAAUACCGCAUACUAUCGGAUGCACCCCUAUGGGAUUAGCUAGUAGGUGGGGUAAAGGCUCACCUAGGCGACGAUCGCUAGCUGGUCUGAGAGGAUGAUGGGCCACACUGGGACUGAGACACGGCCCAGACUCCUACGGGAGGCAGCAGUGGGGAAUAUUGCGCAAUGGGAGAAAGCCUGAUGCAGCCAUGCCGCGUGUAUGAAGAAGGCCUUAGGGUUGUAAAGUAGUUUCAGCGGGGAGGCGGUAGCCGGAGAAGAAGCACCGGCUAACUACGUGCCAGCAGCCGCGGUAAUAC
rnacentral:rRNA from 1 species